UUACGGCCAUGUAACGUUGUAACACCGGUUCCCGUACAAUCCCCGAAGUUAAACAAUGUCGAGCCUGGUCAGUACCUAGAAGGGGGAUCGCUUGUAAAUAUCAGGUGCUGUAAG